rnacentral:rRNA from 1 species
UUAGCAUAUCAAUAAGCGGAGGAAAAGAAACUAACAAGGAUUCCCCUAGUAACUGCGAGUGAAGCGGGAAAAGCUCAAAUUUAAAAUCUGAUGGUCUUUGGCCGUCCGAGUUGUAGUCUGGAGAAGUGCUUUCCGCGCUGGACCGUGUACAAGUCUCUUGGAACAGAGCGUCGUAGAGGGUGAGAAUCCCGUCUUUGACACGGACUACCAGUGCUUUGUGAUGCGCUCUCAAAGAGUCGAGUUGUUUGGGAAUGCAGCUCAAAAUGGGUGGUAAAUUCCAUCUAAAGCUAAAUAUUGGCGAGAGACCGAUAGCGAACAAGUACCGUGAGGGAAAGAUGAAAAGCACUUUGGAAAGAGAGUUAAACAGUACGUGAAAUUGCUGAAAGGGAAACGAUUGAAGUCAGUCGCGUUAGCCAGGACUCAGCCUUGCUUUUGCUUGGUGCAUUUUCUGGUUGACGGGCCAGCAUCGAUUUUGGUUGUCGGAUAAAGGCAGGGGGAAUGUGGCAUCUUCGGAUGUGUUAUAGCCCUCGGUCACAUACGACGGCUAGGAUCGAGGACCGCAGCACGCCUUCAUGGCCGGGGUUCGCCCACGUACGUGCUUAGGAUGCUGGCAUAAUGGCUUUAAACGACCCGUCUUGAAACACGGACCAAGGAGUCUAACAUACCUGCGAGUGUUUGGGUGGAAAACCCGAGCGCGUAAUGAAAGUGAAAGUUGAGAUCUCUGUCAUGGAGAGCAUCGACGCCCGGACCUGACCUUCUGUGAGGGAUCUGCGGUAGAGCAUGUAUGUUGGGACCCGAAAGAUGGUGAACUAUGCCUGAAUAGGGUGAAGCCAGAGGAAACUCUGGUGGAGGCUCGUAGCGAUUCUGACGUGCAAAUCGAUCGUCAAAUUUGGGUAUAGGGGCGAAAGACUAAUCGAACCAUCUAGUAGCUGGUUCCUG